rnacentral:rRNA from 1 species
AUUGAACGCUGGCGGCAGGCUUAACACAUGCAAGUCGAGCGAGCGGCGGACGGGUGAGUCAUGUCUGGGAAACUGCCUGGUGGCGGGGGAUAACUACUGGAAACGGUAGCUAAUACCGCAUACCAUCAGAUGUGCCCCGAUGGGAUUGGCUCGUAGGUGGGGUAAUGGCUCACCUAGGCGAAGAUCCCUAUCUGGUCUGGGAGGAUGACCAGCCACACUGGAACUGAGAAACGGUCCAGACUCCGACGGGAGGCAGCAGUGGGGAAGAUGGCACAAUGGGCGCAAGCCUGAUGCAGCCAUGCCGCGUGUGUGAAGAAGGCCUUCGGGUUGUAAAGCACUUUCAGCGAGGAGGCGUUACUCGCAGAAGAAGCACCGGAUAACGCCGGGCCAGCAGCCGCGGUAAUAC